rnacentral:rRNA from 1 species
GGGAGGCAGCAGUGAGGAAUAUUGGACAAUGGGCGAGAGCCUGAUCCAGCCAUGCCGCGUGCAGGAAGACUGCCCUAUGGGUUGUAAACUGCUUUUAUACAGGAAGAAACCCACCUAUGUGUAGGUGGCUGACGGUACUGUAAGAAUAAGGAUCGGCUAACUCCGUGCCAGCAGCCGCGGUAAU